GGACAGAAUAGUGGUGAAGGACCGAGUAUACAGAUUAACUCUUGCACUAAUGGAUGGAUGUCACAAGAAAGUCGCUUGUUUACUGGAAUAUUACUGAUAAAUCAACACUGUUUUCACCCACACAGCAUGUAAUGACGCUGCUACAGGUGGUGCAACACUCCUUCACGCACCUCUGCACCCCGCCACGCUCACGCACAGUCAGUGAAUGCGUCACAAAGUGGAAUGAAGGCAAGGAAGAGCACUCGCCUCCUGUGCCCGCGGCCGCCCUCAGUAAUAGGUGCGUCACGUGACCGUGCGCGCGUCGCUGUUCUAAUUAUCGCAGGUGACCACUAAACACAAUGCACUCGUGGUGAUGGGACAGGUAUGCGCACUGAGAUAGAUCGAUGACAAUGUGUGUGUGUGUGUGUGUGUGUGUGUGUUGAUGUGUUGUUUGUUUUACUUCAUGGAUUAAAUAUUAUCGUUGUUUUUGUUAUUAUUAUUCAUUUAUGACUUGUACCGCUCGUUUUCGCCCCCUCGUUAACUCGUCCACUCCUUGGUGUAUCUUCAAUUCCUGGAGCAGUUAACUUUAUAACAACCGUUAAUCAAUAUACGAUCCUUCGGAAUAAGAAUAGACCAAGUACCUUUAUUUGUUGGAUAAGUUUUUAUUACGAAAGCAAUCACAAUUCUUUUAACUGACCGAAAUCUUAGUACACCCUUUUCUGCUCCCUGCCAGAGGUGAGGAUCCUGUAUUAUAUAUCAACGCUUAUUUUCAUUUUUUUUGUCAACCUGAAGUUUAUAUUCUCAUUUUGGCUUUCCGUAUGAUUUCCCCUUCAGACAGUAGUGGGUAUGCGGGCAAAAGUGACACACACCUCUAUAUCUUUCUUUUGUCUGUGUCUGUCUGUCUGUCUGUCAGUCUUUACAACUUUUGAUAAUAAUAAGAGUAAAAAUAAUAAUAAUAGUAAUAAUGAUAAUAAUAAUAAUAAUAGUAAUAAUAAUAAUAAUAAUAGUAAUAAUAAUAAUUUGUAAUCUUGAUAAUGUUUGUCAGUAAUAAAAAGAAUUAUUUGUAA